GCCGGGCGCGGUGGCGCACGCCUGUAGUCCCAGCUACUCGGGAGGCUGAGACAGGAGGAUCGCUUGAGUCCAGGAGUUCUGGGCUGUAGUACGCUAUGCCGAUCGGGUGUCCGCACUAAGUUCGGCAUCAAUAUGGUGACCUCCCGGGAGCGGGGGACCACCAGGUUGCCUAAGGAGCGGUGAACCGGCCCAGGUCGGAAACGGAGCAGGUCAAAAAUGGGCAGAGUGGUGCAGGGCCAUUUAGUGAGUCUCUCUCUCUCUCUCUCUUUCUCUCUCUCUCUCUCUCUC
ensembl:misc_RNA Metazoa_SRP Metazoan signal recognition particle RNA